CCACGGGAGCUGCAGGGGCUGGUGAGUGCAGGGUGGGUCUGGGGUCCCUGAAAUGGAAUUAAAAAUAAAAAUUGGGGGUCUUGAGUGAAAAUUGGGGUUUAUGGAGGGAGUUGGGGGUCCCAGGGAAGGGUUUGGGGGUGUUCAGGUGCAGUUUGAGGUCCCUUAGAUGGGGAUUUGGGGUAGUGGGGUAAAUUUGAGGACCUUGAAUGCGAUUUGUGGGUUCUUUAAUUAAAUUUGGAGAUAAAAUCAGUGGCAUUUGGCAUCAUGAGGUUGGAUUUGGGGUCCUCAGAUGGGAUUUGGGGUUCAUGGGGGAACUUGGGGGUCCCAGGGAAGGGUUUGGGGGUGUUCAGGUGGAGUUUGAAGUCCCUUAGGGGAGAUUUGGGGUGGUGGGGUAAAUUUGAGGGCCUUGAAUGCAAUUCGUGAGUUCUUAAAUUGGAUUUGGAAAUAAUUAGUGGGAUUUGGCAUCAUGAGGUUGGAUUUGGGGGUCCCUGCAAUAGAGUUUGGGGUCCUGGGGUGAGAUUUGGGACCAUGGGAUGAGAUUUAAGGGUGCCAUGAUGGGAUUUGGGGUGCCGGGGUUAAUUUAAUAUUAGGAAGUUACUUGAGGGUCCUAGGGUGGGAUUUGGGGGGGAUCAAUUGUGCUUUGGGGUCCCAGGUUGGAAUUUGGUGUCCCUGGGGUGGGACUGGGGGGUCUCAGAGUGUGAUUUGAGGUUUCAGGGUGGGAUUUGGGGUCUCAAAGUGGGAUCUGGGAUCCCAGGUUGGUAUUUGGGGUGCCAAGUUGGUAUUUUGGGUUCCAUGCCGUGUUUUGAGGUGCCAGGUUGGUAUUUUGGGGUUUUAUGCUGUAUUUUGGGGUGCCAGGUUGGUUUUUGGGCUCCAUGCCGUAUUUUGGAUGCCAGGUUGGUUUUUGGGCUCAAUGCUGUAUUUUGGGGUGCCAGGUUGGUAUUUGGUGUCCCAGGUUGGUAUUUGGUUUUCCACGCUAUAUUUUGGAGUGCCAGGUUGGUAUUUUGGGGUCCCAGGUUGGUAUUUGGUUUUCCAUGCCGUGUUUUGGGGUGCCAUGGUUGGUAUUUUGGGGU
rnacentral:lncRNA from 1 species